UACGUAGGGUGCAGGCGUUAAUCGGAAUUACUGGGCGUAAAGCGUGCGCAGGCGGUUUCUUAAGUCAGCUGUGAAAUCCCCGGGCUCAACCCGGGAACUGCGUCCGAUACUGGGGGGCUUGAAUCCGGGAGAGGGAUGUGGAAUUCCAGGUGUAGCGGUGAAGUGCGUAGAUAUCUGGAGGAACACCGGUGGCGAAGGCGGCAUCCUGGACCGGUAUUGACGCUGAGGCGCGAAAGCCAGGGGAGCAAACGGG
rnacentral:rRNA from 1 species